GCUGGAUAGCUCAGUUGGUUAGAGCAUGGUGCUGAUAAAGCCAAGGUUACAGGUUCAAUCCCCAUACGGUGCA
rnacentral:tRNA from 1 species